AAGCUGGGAACUCUGUCGAGACUGCCGGCGCAAGCUGAGAGGAAGGCGGGGAUGACGUCAAAUCAGCACGGCCCUUACGUCCGGGGCGACACACGUGUUACAAUGGCGGCCACAGCGGGAAGCCAGGCGGCGACGCCGAGCGGAACCCGAAAAGCCGUCUCAGUUCGGAUUGGAGUCUGCAACCCGACUCCAUGAAGCUGGAUUCGCUAGUAAUCGCGCAUCAGCCACGGCGCGGUGAAUACGUUCCCGGGCCUUGUACACACCGCCCGUCAAGCCAUGGGAGCCGGGAGUGCCUGAAGUACGUGACCGCAAGGAGCGUCCUAGGGUAAGACCGGUGACUGGGGCUAAGUCGUAACAAGGUAGCCGUACCGGAAGGUGCGGCUGGAACACCUCCUUUCUGGAGC
rnacentral:rRNA from 1 species